AUGCCUUAAACUGAUGAGUAAGGAAAAUAACGGUACGGGGUGACGCCCGUAUCCUCGUAACUAUUGCGAGAUGAAUUUUUGAAGGGGCAUAGGUCUGCCUGCUCCGGUGACUCGUCUACUUUACGAGAUGCCCUGCAGGACCAGGACCUUCCCC